CCAGACUCCUACGGGAGGCAGCAGUGGGGGAUAUUGCACAAUGGGGGAAACCCUGAUGCAGCGAUGCCGCGUGAGUGAAGACGGCCUUCGGGUUGUAAAGCUCUGUCGCAGAGGACGAAAAUGACGGUACUCUGUAAGAAAGCUCCGGCUAACUACGUGCCAGCAGCCGCGGUAAUACGUAGGGAGCAAGCGUUGUCCGGAAUUACUGGGUGUAAAGGGAGCGUAGGCGGGAGGAUAAGUUGAAUGUGAAAUCUAUGGGCUAACCCUAGAGCUGCUUUCAAAACUGUUCUUCUUGAGUGAAGUAGAGGCAGGCGGAAUUCCUAGUGUAGCGGUGAAAUGCGUAGAUAUUAGGAGGAACACCAGUGGCGAAGGCGGCCUGCUGGGCUUUUACUGGCGCUGAGGCCCGAAAGCGUGGGUAGCAAACAGGAUAGAUACCCCCAUAG
rnacentral:rRNA from 1 species